UACGAAGGGUGCAAGCGUUACUCGGAAUUACUGGGCGUAAAGCGUGCGUAGGUGGUUCGUUAAGUCUGUCGUGAAAGCCCCGGGCUCAACCUGGGAAUGGCGAUGGAUACUGGCGGGCUAGAGUGCGGUAGAGGAGAGUGGAAUUCCCGGUGUAGCAGUGAAAUGCGUAGAGAUCGGGAGGAACACCAGUGGCGAAGGCGAUCAUCUGGGGUUGUUCUGACACUGAGGAGCGAAAGCUAGGGGAGCAAACGGG
rnacentral:rRNA from 1 species